CUGCACCUCUUGAAUGUUGAGAGUUAUUUGAUAAAGGCUGGUUGAAUGAGUUCCCUAUGAGAGGCUACUUCAUCUGCAAGAAAACAGGCGGCCGCACCAGUUUCCUCAUAUGAAAUUAAAAGGGUCAGUGGUCUAAAAUGAGUCUCUCUGGGGAGAGAGAGG